rnacentral:tRNA from 1 species
AAGUCUUAUACUCCACGGAACUUGCAAUUCCACAUGCUCUACACCAAAAGACC